UCAGUCGACUCCUACGGGGAGGCAGCAGUGAGGAAUAUUGGGUCAAUGGGCGCAAGCCUGAACCAGCCAUGCCGCGUGCAGGAAGACUGCCCUAUGGGUUGUAAACUGCUUUAUACAGGAAGAAACACUCGGACGUGUCCGAGCUUGACGGUACUGUAAGAAUAAGGAUCGGCUAACUCCGUGCCAGCAGCCGCGGUAAUACGGAGGAUCCAAGCGUUAUCCGGAAUCAUUGGGUUUAAGGGUCCGUAGGUGGAUUAGUAAGUCAGAGGUGAAAGCCUGCAGCUCAACUGUAGAACUGCCUUUGAUACUGCUAGUCUUGAGUCAUUAUGAAGUGGUUAGAAUGUGUAGUGUAGCGGUGAAAUGCAUAGAUAUUACACAGAAUACCGAUUGCGAAGGCAGAUCACUAAUAAUGUACUGACACUGAUGGACGAAAGCGUGGGGAGCGAACAGGAUUAGAUACCCUGGUAG
rnacentral:rRNA from 1 species